rnacentral:rRNA from 1 species
CCCUUAGAUGUUCUGGGCCGCACGCGCGCUACACUGACGAAUGCAACGAGCUUAUAACCUUGGCCGAAAGGUCUGGGUAAUCUCCAAAUUUCGUCGUGAUGGGGAUAGAUUAUUGCAAUUAUUAAUCUUCAACGAGGAAUGCCUUGUAAGCGCAAGUCAUCAGCUUGCGUUGAUUACGUCCCUGCCCUUUGUACACACCGCCCGUCGCUCCUACCGAUUGAAUGGUCCGGUGAAGCGUUCGGACCGUGGCCUUUGGACGGUUCGCCGUCUGUUGGCUGCGGGAAGUUCGUUAAACCUUAUCAUUUAGAGGAAGGAGAAGUCGUANCA